rnacentral:rRNA from 1 species
UACGUAGGGUCCGAGCGUUGUCCGGAAUUAUUGGGCGUAAAGAGCUCGUAGGCGGUUUGUCGCGUCUGCUGUGAAAUCCCGAGGCUCAACCUCGGGCCUGCAGUGGGUACGGGCAGACUUGAGUGGUGUAGGGGGAGACUGGAAUUCCUGGUGUAGCGGUGGAAUGCGCAGAUAUCAGGAGGAACACCGAUGGCGAAGGCAGGUCUCUGGGCACUUACUGACGCUGAGGAGCGAAAGCGUGGGGAGCGAACAGG